AAGGGUGGUAAUAGCGACGGGGAUCCACCUCUACCCAUACCGAACAGAGCAGUUAAGCCCGUUAGCGCCGAUGGUCCUGCUAUACCAAGUGGGAGAGUAGGUAGCCACCAACC
rnacentral:rRNA from 1 species